rnacentral:rRNA from 1 species
GACGAACGCUGGCGGCGUGCUUAACACAUGCAAGUCGAGCGGAAAGGCCCCUUCGGGGGUACUCGAGCGGCGAACGGGUGAGUAACACGUGAGGAACCUGCCCUUAGCUCUGGGAUAGCUCCGGGAAACCGGGAUUAAUACCGGAUACGACCACUGUCGGCCUCGACGGUGGUGGAAAGAUUUAUCGGCUAGGGAUGGUCUCGCGGCCUAUCAGCUUGUUGGUGAGGUAACGGCUCACCAAGGCGA